GCGCUUGUAGUAGAAAGCAAUGAUUUUAUGUAUUUUUAUUUCAAAAUUGUAAUUUUGUUGAACAACUUUUCUGUUGAGAAGAGUUUCAUUUGAAUUUAACGGUUUUUGGAGAUUUGGUUUCAAAUGACAUUUCAAUUUGUUGACAGCUUGUAUUAAAUGAUAAUGCAGUGCUGUUGUCAAAAGAUAAAAGGAAGACAUUUUCGAUAUAUAUUUUGGUAUUGGUUUUUCUUAUUUUGUAUGUGUUAGUUUUUGCUGAAAAAACAUUAGAUUUCCAAAUUUUCCAAAAUUUUUCUCUCAAAUAUUGGGUAUAAAAAGGAAGCCAUUGCCCAAAAUCUUUCCUUUUUGCCUGCUGCUACCUACCAGUUUUCUUAAAAAAAAAACGUCGUUACUCUGCCGGAAAAUUUAUUUAAAAAAAAAAUAAAGAAGUUUUUUUUUGAAAUUUUUUAAAUAAAUUUGGCUUAAAUUGUUCGCAUUUCGUGAAAGGAUCUUUUGGAUUUUAUAUCCACAAAAUUAUAUGUAACAGGAUAAUAAAAUAAUUAACGCCAAUAUCACAAAUUUCAACUCAAAAGUAGGCAGAAAGUGUUUUUAUUUACCCAGCGGCAACAAAAGUCAAAGAAAAAGAAAAUCGUUUGUUUUUAUUUACAAAAAGCACACAAACACACCUACGUCAAUUUGAUAUAUUUGACAAAAUUCUUCCUAGCGACGAAACCUCCAGGCACAAAAUCUUCGCCUGGGAAGGCUUCGUCCACAAUCGUGCCUUCUUCGGCGUAAAACCAAACCUUCAGGGAAAGCUUUAGGUUGCAAUACUAAGGUCUUAGAGACGAGGAGAAAAGUGUGAAAAGUGCGGGGAAAAUGUCAAUUGUUUAAAGAAAAAAAAAACAAAAGAACACUCCAAAGUUAUAAUAAAAAUCAGAAAAAUAAUCUGUGUGAAAGUUCGUGGAGAGUAAUUUUGAAAAUUUCAUAAAAAGUUUCACAAAAAUUUUUAAUUAUUUAGAAAAAGAAAAAUUUAAAAACUAAAAAAAAAAAAACUAAAAACCUUAAAAGAAUCAACAAGAAGAACAAGAAAAAUAACAAAAAGAAACAAAGUUUAAAUAUUAAUCUUUAUUUAAUCAAAUUUUAAAAUUUUUACAAAAUGUGUUUAUAAAUUAAUUCGUAAAAUAUCGAUUGUUCUUAAAUCUAUCACUUUUUUUUACUUUUUUUUUAAUUAUUUUAUUUUUUUUUUCGUAAUAUCUAACUAAAUCACUUUUUUUUGUUGAUCACUCGCGACAGAAAACUAAAGAAACUAAAUGUAAUGCAAAAAUCAAUAUUGUUAGUGGUGAAAAAGUAUAAUUUAUAAAAAUAUUUUAAAGCAAGUGUCAAAAUAAUAUAAAAACAAAAAUAUUAGUAAAAAAAGAAACAAAAUUAAAAAAAAAAAAUGUACAUUGAGUUCAAAUGUUAAUAACAUAAAAUGUUAAUCUGUAAUUUUAAACACAUAAAUUUUUAAAAAUUUCAACAAAAUUAUAUACACAAACAUCUACAGGAAGCAGACGAAAGAUCUUUCGACGUGGGAUCCUGGUAAAUGUAAGUUUAGUUGCUCAUUUUUUUAUGUUAUUUUCAUUUUUUCUUUUAAACAAACAAAAUAUUAAUAAAAACACAUAACAUCCACUGAUACGUACAUACAGAAUGUUUAAUAAGUAAAUAUUGUUAACAGAAAAAUUCGUUAACAUGAGUGUAAUUGUUAAAAUCAUCUUAUAUCAGUGUAUGUAAUGUCUUUUAUUUAUUCUCAAAUACAUUUAAUAUUUUACAUUUCUGUAAUUACAUGUAAAUUACAUAAAUGUUUAA